rnacentral:lncRNA from 1 species
CAGUCUUAAUUCUUUCUCUGAUCACGGGCACCACCCUGCUGGUGAUCUCUACUAGCUCGGGUCCUGCUAAGGACCUCUCUCCUACUUCUUCCCAGCAAACAGGUGAUCUGCACUUCCUUCCAUAUAAAGCUUCAUAUGGAGCCAUCCCGAUGCUAGCAUGAUGGCUGUUAUUGUAGGCAAACUCCACCAAAGGUAGAUGCUGCCUCCAAGAACCGCCAAAG